UUAAAUCUUGCCGUUAUAUUUAGUUACAAAAUUUAUGUUCUAGCAGGACAUAGCCGUUAUGCGCGAAGCGGUGUAGCGUCACUUUGAUGGCGGUACUAUGAAUUGAUGCAAGGUGUGGAGCGACCUUAAACAGUUCUGGUGGUGCUCUGAAUGGAGUGCUCUACUGAGAUUAUAAAAUAGAAGGUAAGCUAUUAUCUCUUACAACAGGGCAGGGCUUGUUGGAAUAGGCGGUAAAGUCUAUGGUAGAGUAGU
rnacentral:sRNA from 12 species